UUUAGUGGGGUGUUUUGCAUUACACGGUUUGGUCGUGUAGGUGGUUUGUUUCUCGCUUUUU
rnacentral:tRNA from 1 species